UUGCACGCUGGCGGCAUGCUCUACACAUGCAAGUCGCACGGUAACAGGCCGCAAGGUGCUGACGAGUGGCGAACGGGUGAGUAAUGCAUCGGAACGUGCCCAGUCGUGGGGGAUAACUACUCGAAAGAGUAGCUAAUACCGCAUACGAUCUAUGGAUGAAAGCGGGGGACCGUAAGGCCUCGCGCGAUUGGAGCGGCCGAUGUCAGAUUAGGUAGUUGGUGGGGUAAAGGCUCACCAAGCCAACGAUCUGUAGCUGGUCUGAGAGGACGACCAGCCACACUGGGACUGAGACACGGCCCAGACUCCUACGGGAGGCAGCAGUGGGGAAUUUUGGACAAUGGGCGCAAGCCUGAUCCAGCAAUGCCGCGUGCAGGAAGAAGGCCUUCGGGUUGUAAACUGCUUUUGUACGGAACGAAACGGCUCUGGUUAAUACCCGGGGCUAAUGACGGUACCGUAAGAAUAAGCACCGGCUAACUACGUG
rnacentral:rRNA from 1 species